UAAUAGUGUAUAUUAAAGUUGUUGCAGUUAAAAAGCUCGUAGUUGAAUGUUGGUGUCGAACGAGCGGUCAGCUUCGGCUGUACUGCUCUCUCGACUCCUUCCUUCUGUGGACUACGUCGCACUUUACUGUGUGGCGCUAGGACGCAGAUCGUUUACUGUGAAAAAAUUAGAGUGUUCAAAGCAGGCCGUACGCUUGAAUACAUUAGCAUGGAAUAAUGGAAUAGGGCGUCGGGCCUAUUUUGUUGGUUCUAGGACCGUCGUAAUGAUUAAUAGGGACAGUUGGGGCCGUUUAUAUUCCGUAGUCAGAGGUGAAAUUCUUGGAUUUACGGAAGAUAAACUACUGCGAAAGCAUUCGGCAAGGAUGUUUUCGUUAA
rnacentral:rRNA from 1 species